UACGGAGGGAGCAAGCGUUACUCGGAAUUAUUGGGCGUAAAGGGCGCGUAGGCGAUUCGAAAAGUCAACUGUGAAAGCCCAGGGCCUAACCCUGGAAGUGCAGCUGAUACUGUUGAAUCUGAGUUCCGGAGAGGAAGGCAGAAUUCCCGGUGUAGCGGUGAAAUGCGUAGAUAUCGGGAGGAAUACCAGUGGCGAAGGCGGCCUUCUGGACGGAUACUGACGCUGAGGCGCGAAAGCUAGGGGAGCAAACGGG
rnacentral:rRNA from 1 species